GACGAACGCUGGCGGCGUGCCUAGUACAUGCAAGUCGAACGAACUCUGGUAUUGAUUGGUGCUUGCAUCAUGAUUUACAUUUGAGUGAGUGGCGAACUGGUGAGUAACACGUGGGAAACCUGCCCAGAAGCGGGGGAUAACACCUGGAAACAGAUGCUAAUACCGCAUAACAACUUGGACCGCAUGGUCCGAGUUUGAAAGAUGGCUUCGGCUAUCACUUUUGGAUGGUCCCGCGGCGUAUUAGCUAGAUGGUGGGGUAACGGCUCACCAUGGCAAUGAUACGUAGCCGACCUGAGAGGGUAAUAGGCCACAUUGGGACUGAGACACGGCCCAAACUCCUACGGGAGGCAGCAGUAGGGAAUCUUCCACAAUGGACGAAAGUCUGAUGGAGCAACGCCGCGUGAGUGAAGAAGGGUUUCGGCUCGUAAAACUCUGUUGUUAAAGAAGAACAUAUCUGAGAGUAACUGUUCAGGUAUUGACGGUAUUUAACCAGAAAGCCACGGCUAACUACGUGCCAGCAGCCGCGGUAAUACGUAGGUGGCAAGCGUUGUCCGGAUUUAUUGGGCGUAAAGCGAGCGCAGGCGGUUUUUUAAGUCUGAUGUGAAAGCCUUCGGCUCAACCGAAGAAGUGCAUCGGAAACUGGGAAACUUGAGUGCAGAAGAGGACAGUGGAACUCCAUGUGUAGCGGUGAAAUGCGUAGAUAUAUGGAAGAACACCAGUGGCGAAGGCGGCUGUCUGGUCUGUAACUGACGCUGAGGCUCGAAAGUAUGGGUAGCAAACAGGAUUAGAUACCCUGGUAGUCCAUACCGUAAACGAUGAAUGCUAAGUGUUGGAGGGUUUCCGCCCUUCAGUGCUGCAGCUAACGCAUUAAGCAUUCCGCCUGGGGAGUACGGCCGCAAGGCUGAAACUCAAAGGAAUUGACGGGGGCCCGCACAAGCGGUGGAGCAUGUGGUUUAAUUCGAAGCUACGCGAAGAACCUUACCAGGUCUUGACAUACUAUGCAAAUCUAAGAGAUUAGACGUUCCCUUCGGGGACAUGGAUACAGGUGGUGCAUGGUUGUCGUCAGCUCGUGUCGUGAGAUGUUGGGUUAAGUCCCGCAACGAGCGCAACCCUUAUUAUCAGUUGCCAGCAUUAAGUUGGGCACUCUGGUGAGACUGCCGGUGACAAACCGGAGGAAGGUGGGGAUGACGUCAAAUCAUCAUGCCCCUUAUGACCUGGGCUACACACGUGCUACAAUGGAUGGUACAACGAGUUGCGAACUCGCGAGAGUAAGCUAAUCUCUUAAAGCCAUUCUCAGUUCGGAUUGUAGGCUGCAACUCGCCUACAUGAAGUCGGAAUCGCUAGUAAUCGCGGAUCAGCAUGCCGCGGUGAAUACGUUCCCGGGCCUUGUACUCACCGCCCGUC
rnacentral:rRNA from 1 species